UACGAAGGGGGCUAGCGUUGUUCGGAGUUACUGGGCGUAAAGCGCACGUAGGCGGCUUUGCAAGUCAGAGGUGAAAGCCCGGGGCUCAACCCCGGAAUUGCCUUUGAGACUGCAUCGCUAGAAUUGUGGAGAGGUAAGUGGAAUUCCGAGUGUAGAGGUGAAAUUCGUAGAUAUUCGGAAGAACACCAGUGGCGAAGGCGACUUACUGGACACAUAUUGACGCUGAGGUGCGAAAGCGUGGGGAGCAAACAGG
rnacentral:rRNA from 1 species